UACAGAGGUCUCAAGCGUUGUUCGGAUUCAUUGGGCGUAAAGGGUGCGUAGGUGGCGGGGUAAGUCGGAUGUGAAAUCUCCGAGCUCAACUCGGAAAUGGCAUUGGAAACUACCUUGCUCGAGGGUUGGAGGGGGGACUGGAAUACUUGGUGUAGCAGUGAAAUGCGUAGAUAUCAAGUGGAACACCAGUGGCGAAGGCGAGUCCCUGGACAACUCCUGACACUGAGGCACGAAAGCUAGGGGAGCAAACAGG
rnacentral:rRNA from 1 species